ACACAUAUAUGUGUGUGUAUGUGUGUGUAUAUAUAUAUAUAUAUAUAUAUACACACACACACACACACACAGACAUACAUAUACGUAU